CGCCAUGUGUCAUAAUCUUCGGAUUAGGCAUGGUACUCGAUGUCGAUCCUGACCAUUAAAGAAACCUAUAUAUAGGAGUUGAUCUUCUCCCAUUUUUGGCUUCACUAUUUUUCGCUCCACCUCGAGUCCAUGCCAUCCCUUUUCUCUGUCAAGAGUCUAACUGCCGGCGAGUCUUCUCCUCCGAUGCCAGUCUUCUACCAC
rnacentral:lncRNA from 1 species